CCCUAUGGGGUGCAGCAGGCGGCGCUUUCAGUCAGAUGUGAAAUACCCGGGCUUAACUCGGGGGGUGCAUUUGAAACUGGAGUGCUUGAGUGCAGGAGAGGAAAGUGGAAUUCCUAGUGUAGCGGUGAAAUGCGUAGAUAUUAGGAGGAACACCAGUGGCGAAGGCGACUUUCUGGACUGUAACUGACGCUGAGGCACGAAAGCGUGGGGAGCAAACA
rnacentral:rRNA from 1 species